CUGGCUGAGUUCUCUAUCAUCGCCCAGCGUCUCCUCCACAGGCUGUGUCAGAUAAUAGCUUCCUUUUCUCUACUUUUCAAGAGAGAAUGAGUCUAUUCCCUGGGAACAGAGUUCAAGGGCAGGUCUGUGUAACCCAGAGAGACAGACUCGUGCCAAGACCUUGGCUUCAGAACCUGGAAAUGGCCUAGCACGUUUUGAACGCGUAUGCCGCACUGACCAGGAGCACCAACUCUCCCACAUCAGGCUGAGGCUCUAAAGGUGGAGGUAAAGGUGGGAUGCAGAAGAGGCCUCUCUAGGUCCGGGUCAGGCCUCCUGCAGCAGCAGCUUGCCUCCUGGAUAAGAGCAGCAGACCCCAGUCUCUUUACUUACAGCCCGCUGGAGCAAGAGGUCGACCCACACCUGAACCCUCCCCAGCACACAGUGGGCCGCGGGGCCCGGCAACACACAGGACAGCCGACCUGCUUUGACCUCUUCGCCCCUGGGACCCCCGCCAAUAAGCUCAGGGACCACUCAGAACCUCUCUGUUAACACACUCUGCCCCCCCAGCACCUCAGCCGGAGAGCGCUGCACUAUUCAAAAACACACACCCACUCAGGCUGUCUCUCUCCCCUCUGUCUGACUGUUUCGUGCGGAGCCAUCUAGGAGCUCAGCAUUAAACUAGUGAAUAUCUCCAUCUUGUGGACAAUGUUUGUUUCAUUAUGAGAGAUGUGGGGCAAAUAUUCAUUGUCUGUUUAAGUACCAGUCAGACAGGGUCAAAGCAUAGAUUCUCUUUAUGUUGUGGACUUAUACAGUUCCUCUUUAUAUAAGCUGCAGCAACACAUAUGGUUGAGGUAUAUCAGAGCAUCCACAAGGCAAACAGCAAUUACUUUUCUUGAAAUUAGCAUGUGAGCCAAUUGUCUCUGUUGUAAACAAGGUAUGUUCAUGUGUGAAAUAAUUUGUCCACAUCCACAGCCUCCCAGGGUCAAAAAGGCGGCAGGGUGACUUUAUCUUGAAUGUCACUUUGUUUUUGGUUGGUUAGACAGUACCCUCUCUUGGAUUGGCUUCUCGGAUGAAGGCACAGGUGAGGCCCACAGAGGAGCAGCCCCCUCUCUCCACAGCUUUUCCUCUGCUAAAACAGCCCUACAUUUUAAUAUGCAACAUCUGUGCCGGGAGAGCCUUCCAAAAUGGCUGCUCCUUGGAGAAUGACGGUAGAGUCUGCUCAAACUUGGGGUUGGGGCAUUUGGUACUGCAAGGUUCUGCACAGAUGUUAGCAUUCACAAUGUCACUCUGUCCUUUGCUUCAGUACCCAGGGAGGUCUAUUUUAAGGGAGGUUGGUAUGUUUUCUUCCUUAGUUCCCUGAGAUCGCUUUAUCUGUAACUGUCAUUGUAACAAUUCUACAUAGACUUGUUCAACUGAACCGGGACUGCUGUCUCUGAUCAGUAAGGUAUGAAGGAGCUUCCUGCCUGUUAAUUUAUCAUUCGGUCUGGUCCUACUAUAUGGUAGCAGUGCUACAAAGAUAGACUUGUUCGAAGUAGUUCCGUAAGAGUUACAGUACAAAACAUCAGGCAAUCACAUUAAAAGCAUUUGAGGAGAUAAAGAGAAUGGUAAAGAAUGCCUAGACAAAGCCACUGUUGUCUCCCUCGUCAUUUCAGUUGCAUGAAUUCGUAGCAUUCGUAACAUUAGCUCAGUCGCACAGAGCCGUGUUUGUGUCUAUGCCUUCACAAAGAAUUGGGAAUAUUUUCUGAACAGAGAUGCCAUGACCUAAAGGCUGCUUGUCAGUCAGAUUAUUCAACUGAUUCUCAAACAAGACUCUAGACAAGGCUGUGAAGGAUCAGGGGGAGAAAGAAGGGACGAAAAGAGAGAAAGAGUGAAAGCAAGGAGAGGGACAUGUAGAGCGCCUAAUGCAUCGCUUACACAAAGAAGAUGCUCAUAUUUAAUGCUCAUCAUUAAGGCAGGGUUUGAGCAUGGAAGACGCUUCUGCUAUUUUCCCACACCCCUUGAGCCAAGUCCUUGUGACAGCCCUCCACUGCAUCCCGGCAAAUUAUCCGCAUGAGCUGCGGCGAACAAAAACAGCCCAGUGCGGGGGAAGUGAGGCCCAGCUUCAGCUCCACUCCUGUGAUUCGGAGACACGUCACUUUGCAUCAGCUCCAGCUCUCCAAACCACAUCAUCUGCAAGUGAGGACAACAAGACCACUCCGUGGGGAGAGGACAGUUGAAGAGAACAAGGCAAAUAAGAAUAAAAGGAGAUAAGACAUAGUAGGAAUGCUGGAGAGGAGAGAGGAGAGUGAGAAGAGUGUUGAGGCUUUAGGAGACACUUCCUAGGUGAAGUCAAUGCUAAUCAGUGGAAUUGAAACAUUGUUAGCAGAGCCAUGAUACUGAUUUCUGUAAAAAAUAUUUUGGCCGAAUGAUUCAUCAUAGCCUUGGGCUGUAACUGCAUGACAAAUGAAUCAUUUAGAUUUGCUAAGUGAAAACUGUAUUCCCCUGAUCAUACUCCAUUAUGAAAUGAAGACACAAAACAAGUACUUGCAGUACAUCAAUAUAUAUGAUCAUAAUACAAAUAGCACUAAGAAUCCCACUACAGAUAUUAGAUCCACUAACUUGUGAAAUGCGCAUCCUACAUUCUACAGUCUUGCUAGUUUCAGCCAGUGGUUGGUGCUUAGCAGUCCUGUGUUAAACAGAGUCAGGGCACUCUCUGCUGGACAUUGCUAAACUUGCAGGACCUGUAAUCUAAUAAAGGUAGACACUUGUGAUUUUUUUUGCUAACUUCAUUUUAGAUGUUUGGAGAAGUAAAGGUGCCUAUGGCCUCUUUCUCAAGGAUAUAUUCCGAAGGCCAAGGAUACUUGAGAAAAAUGGAGUUACACCAAAAUAAACCUGUCUUCCAAGAUGCAUGUGCACCAAGCCUAAAUUGGCCUAUUUAAAGGCAUAACCAUAGACAGCCUUUGAAUAAUAUUGACUUGCAAACGAUGCUGAGGUCAAGGACAGGAAGCUAGACCACGUUAGUUGGCACAAGAGUGAUGGAAAGUAAACCAGAUACAUUUAGGACCGGUGCAAAGUAAAAAGUCAAGUACUCUAGCUAUUUUUACAAAUAAUGAAUGAUUGGGUUUCUGGAAUGAAGAAAAAAAUAAGCUCACAGGAAAAAAACAAAAAAAUCAUUAUGAAUAUGUGGUAGUAUUUUGUGGUACAAGUCAAUCAAUAUUUUAUGCUUACUUCCCAUGUUUAGGAAUUAAUUAAAUUUCAUAUUUAAAGCAAAGUAGUGUUACUUUUUUUCGUUUUUAACAGUACAUUUCUGCAUCAUGAAUCCAUUAGGCCUACUUGUAUUGUGUGGUGGUGCUAUUUUUGCAAGCUCUAAUGAUCACAAGAAUGAUGUGCUUUAGAGGAGGAUAAAAAGAUUGCAGCAAGCUGAAAAGCCCUAAUGUGGUAUCAACUGAGGAAUCUGUUGUUUCAUGCGGUUGUCUUGUGAUACUAAAUGAGAUUUUUACAUCUUUAAGAAUAUAAGAAUUAAGUGAGUUCAUUAUCUUUGACUGGGUAUUGACGCAAGAAAACCAGUAACUUAAACCACCAGUAAAACAAGUGUAAUUUACAUAUCAAUUAGAAAAGAAAUAAAGCAAUAUCACAUCCUUAUUUUUUUAAUAAUAUGCUGUGAAAUCUCAAUUUUUUUUUUCUUUCUCAUGAAGCACUUUAAAAGUUGUAAAAUGUUCAUUGUCAAAUAAUCCCUAUGUUUUUUAUUCCUUGACAGCCUAAUGAUACUCCAGCACUGGUCGAGUAUUUAUUGAACACACACAGAGUACGUGCAGGCUGUCUGUCUGAAUCAUUGCUCUCUUGCUGCAAACCACUCUGUACAGCCGAGCACACUAUCCAUAUUCAUGUGAUUUUUGCCGGAAGGCAUUGGUGUCUACUAAAAAUAGCAUGGUGAGAGAAAGGGUCUCACACUGUGUAUCCUAACAUGUAUGAGCGCAGUCCCUGUGAUUGGGUGUAAACAAGUGUCUUUGUCGAGACCAUACUUCAUGUUGUUGAGUAAACACUUGUAAAUAAUUGCUCUGGGCCAGAAUAAAGAGAUAUUCAAGGUGCAUGCCGUAAAUCAACA